UGGGGAAGUUUUCCGUCAAUGGGCGGAAAGCCUGACGGAGCAAUGCCGCGUGGAGGUGGAAGGCCUACGGGUCGUCAACUUCUUUUCUCGGAGAAGAAACAAUGACGGUAUCUGAGGAAUAAGCAUCGGCUAACUCUGUGCCGG
rnacentral:rRNA from 1 species